rnacentral:rRNA from 1 species
CGGAGGGGGCUAGCGUUAUUCGGAAUUAUUGGGCGUAAAGGGCGCGUAGGCGGCCCGGUAAGUCAAAGGUGAAAUCCCUCGGCUCAACUGAGGAACUGCCUUUGAAACUGUCGGGCUUGAGGCCGGGAGGGGGUAGCGGAAUUCCCAGUGUAGCGGUGAAAUGCGUAGAUAUUGGGAGGAACACCGGUGGCGAAGGCGGCUACCUGGACCGGUUCUGACGCUGAUGCGCGAAAGCGUGGGUAACAAACAGGAUUAGAUACCCUGGUAGUCCACGCUGUAAACGAUGGGUGCUCGGUGUCGCGGGUAUCGACCCCUGCGGUGCCUUAGCUAACGCGUUAAGCACCCCGCCUGGGGAGUACGGUCGCAAGGCUG